GGGCCCCUCGGGUUGCGGUUCCGCAGCUCCCGCUGAAGCCGCCGAGGGCUGGGCCCUGCCCUCCGGGAUGCCCUCGGCACUCGCUUGCGGCGCUGCCGGAUCUCGGGGACCGCGGCCUUCAGUGGCUCCGUCCAUUGGGCUGGGGCUGGCGGUUUGUUUUAUCCUCACCUCAGACAGCAUUGAGCACAGCGGUGCUGGGAGUGCUCGCUUUAAAACGGUUCUUUAUUGCAAUACUCGUGAGAGCAGCAGCACUUCUGACCCUUGCUCUUUUUCAGUUAAUUUUGCAUAGAGCAGGCUGGAUAAACUCAUUUGUUAAAAAUCAGUCUAAAGCUAUUCUUUAAAUUUCUCCAAAUGACUUUCUGGUAAGUGCUUGUCAUAGAAUCACUAGGGUUGGAAAAGCCCUCUAAGAUCAGAGUCUAACCAAUAACAUUUACUGUGUUUACCGCUAGGCGAUGUCUCCAAGUGCCAUAUCCACAAACCAUUUGAAGGCUUCCAGGGAUGGUGUUUACAGCCUCUUCCAAUAUCUGAUCACGAUUUCAGUGGAGAAGUUUUUCCUAAUAUCCAGUCUAAUCUUUUGAUGUAAUUUGAGGCCAUUUCUUAACACAUUACUUGAGAGAGGUGACCAACCCCCACUUGGUGAUUGUUGAGAGCUGUAAGGUCCCCCCAGCCUCUUUUUCUCCAGACUAAACAACUCCAGCUUUUUUUCCUCUGCAUGAUAAGCUCUUCUGGUGUGGAUCAAUACAUACAGUUAUCACAUUGCAUUUGCUUGUAGUGCUUCUGCAUACCCACCUCUGCAGAAUUAAAAUGUUUCUUCUUGAGCUUACCUUCACCUCUGCUGGUGGCACUGCUCAGGGCUAUGCUGUCCAUGACAGCAGGGAAACCAAAUGUCUGGAAAGUAACCUAGCAAAAUAUGAUUUUUUUUUUCUCUUCAAGAUAACCCUCUUUCCUGACCUGGUUGAUGGUAUGGUCUCUGUAACUGUUGUGAUGGCCCAGGGCUUGGCAUGAGUGACCAGAUGGGAAACUGGGGAUGGUAAGAGCUGUUUGAGCUAGCCGUACAGUGAGCAAAUGUGAGGGGUGCCUUUGGAACAAUUAUUCCCACUACUUGCAUGUUGCUCAUAUGAACUAUGUGAGUGUUUCAGGUUAGAUAUUGCCAGGUUGUUAAUUUUUCCCUAAAGUGUAGGUUUGUAUUAAAGUAUGAACUUGGGUGACACAAUUUAGGGUGUUGUAAGAUAAGGAGAGUUCAGCCUGCAGUUAUUGUUGUAAAUCCUAGUGCAAGGGCAGAUGUGUUCCAAAUGGUUUUACUGUGGCAGAUGGCCAAAAGGAAAUAAUAAGUUGAUAAAGGGGUUGAAUUCGGAUUUCUUGUGAUUUGUCAGUUGCAACAGUUAAAGUUAAGGCAGUGGCUUAUUGAUAUGUCAGGGUUGAUUCCAAAAGGCCAUGUUGCUCAGCAGCAAUUCAGUGGAUCUGCCAGUAACUAAUUCUGUGCUUUGUACACAGUUAUGUAGUGAGAAAUAAAUUUCUGAUGCUUGAAGAACUCUUGGCUAUGAACACAAGUGGGGAAGAGCAAGAGUAAUGGUGUGCACUAGCAAGCCACUCUAGCUUACUCAGCUCUAUGAAGAGAGUUUAGGGCUUUUAGGUGAUUUAUUGCAGUAGUAGGAAGAUGGUUGCAGCCAUGAUGGUGUAAGGAUAUAAGUGAAAGAAGAUUUACAAAGGCAGAAUAAUAUACCAGUUGGUUUAAUAGAAGAUGUACUUGCAAAACAGAGCAAGAUGUUGUAUACACCAGGUGGUCUGCAGACUUGACAUUCAUAUCUCUACAGGCUGUAACAACAGUGUCCUGGAUGUUUUAACCUGCUGCAUCACAAAUCUUAGUGGGGUGGUAGAAGUUUAGUUGGCACUAACUUGGUGGAAAGCUUUAAGAAGGUCUAUCUUAAUGCACAGUGAGCAGAAAGUACUCUAGAGAUUACUCACUGCUUCCGUAUUGUAGAAAGUACUUUGUGUAUCUCUUUUGCUUAUAUGAGACACUGAAGGUGUGUGUCUGUAUACAUACACAGCUGUGUGCAGAGAUUAAUCCUGAGAGAUUCAGCCUUGCCUGACAAAGUUGAAGUUAAUUCUGAGUGCAUUUGGCAGCAGUUCCCUGAGAAGAGCUAUUCAGUGCUGCAGUCUGUGCUGUAGCUGCUGCUUCCAAAGAUUCCUGGUUAUUUUAUGUUAAUGUUAAUUGCACUAACUUUUUCUCCAGUAUAUAUGUCGGUUUUUUUCUUUGUCAUUCUCUAUAAAGUAUACUCACCCUAUUUUAUCAAACAGUUUCUGUGCUUGUCUUCCCUUGGACAUUCCCAUGUUGAAAGCAAACAGGCAUUUUUCAUUACAGUAUAGUUUAUAACCUAUGAAAACCAUCUUGCAAACUUUUUUUUCAUGUUUCUUCAGUGGAAGCUUUUAUGUGGCACUCUUGCAGCUCUCUUUAUACAUACAUUUUUUUAAUCUAUUUGAUUUAUUCUGUAUUUAUGUUAAAAUGGUGUCUAUAAAAUAAAGAAAAAUAUAGCAUAUGGACAGCACUAAAAUAUACCAAGCUUUACUUGUAACUAGGUGCUGUGACUUUGUGGAACAAACUGGCACAGAUGGUGGCUUGCCAACUUCUGUUUCUUUUUUCUUGAAUUUAGGCCUGAAAAGUCCUUGAUAACCAGUGGAAGCAUCUCUGUAAACUUUUUGGACAAUUGAGCAUGUGAGGGGCAAAAACCCCCAUGGCAAAUAUCCUAUUUGUACUGGAUGUAGGUAUACUGAGAUAUGGAGUUCAGGUGUCUGAACUUAACUCUGAUAAAAAAACAGCAUUAUACUAUUUUGAUUUCCUGAAAAAUUUCUCUGGGUGAGGUAAAGGUUGUCAAUAUUUUCAGUGUAGUUGGCACUGAAACUGGGAGAUGAUCUCAGGAACCGAUGAGACUCUGAAAGAUACUUAGUUUCUUGUUAUUAAAUAUGAAGUCGGUGUAGCAGCUGCCUGGUGAUUCUUGGCUAGAAAAUGGUACCUAUUCUCUUCUCUGUACCUUUUUGUUUAAGUAUGUUGAGAGAUGAAUCCACUGAAGAGUUAUGCCUACUGUUGCAUUAUAAGAGAAAAUGUGCAACCUGUAAGCUUUGUUCCAGCAGUUUACCUCCAUAAGCACUUAUUAGGGUGUACCCUGUUUCAUUUUUUUCUCCCAGCUGGUAAUUUCUAAACAGUGACCCUGACAUAUCCCUCUAUGUUGGAAAUAAUACUUCCUAUUACUUAUUUUUUCAGUGUAGAUAGACUUUGAUGCAAUUUGCUCUAGUGUUUUCUUUUAAUGUGCUCACAUCUGGGCUUUUGAAGCUGAUGAAAUAGCUGAUGAAAUACAGCACACAUCAACAGAAUCCAUCAAUUUUUAAGCAAGCAAACAAGCAUUGGAUCCAAAAGAUGUUGCUCUAAGAGUCAAUGAACUCUAGUUUGGGCAGAACUGCAUGACUCCUGCAAUUAGGAAUGCUGUGCUGCACAUGCUGAACUUUGAGUCCCCAGAAGAGCCUACCAGGAAUGGGUUUGGUCAAAGGUGGCUUUUGACACAACCAGACAUUUUUAGUGAAGGAACCAUAAGACAGAGAAGCCUGGAAAGACUAAAGCUGCAAGAACAGGAGCACAUUCAAAAUAGGGGGAAAAAAAGAGAGGGGGUUGAAAGAAAAAGACGUGGUGAUGAAAAGAAGUUCAAGAGAGAAAAAGGAAAGCUAAGCGCGAGAGGAGAGAAGAGAGGCAGAUAGAUGGAGAUGAGGAACAUCCCCCAAAGCAGCAGAAGGUACCGGCUGAAGAACAGCAGUGGCCAGAGAAUAUGCCUGAAUGGGAAGAAAGGAAAUCCCUGCUAGCUCAGAGAAGAGUGGAGUCUGUCAGACUGCUUACAGUGCUGUUAAAUCGUGUGAAAUUGGCAAGUCAAAAAGUGGAUCCUUCACUGGGUAUAAAGGACGAUUCAUUUUCUGAAACAGUAUUUAAAGACAUACAGCAGGAGCUGAUUAACUCCCUUUAUCGUACGCACAAAGAGCUGACACGUAAGGAGUUUAAGUGCCCCUUAACCCAAAAAGGUAGUGGUUUAUGUUGUGAGGAAGGAGAUGUGAGUAACUUCUAUGCGCCUCCUUGUCACAUAGUCAGGACAAUUUUAAAUGAUCCCUCUCCAGCCCCGAGCUCUGAUGGACUGCCUGGCAGAGAUGUGUGCACCUCCUCCGCCAAAGGCUGUGGGCCUUUGCUGAUCACGGUUACGCAGGACGGCAGGGUCAUCGAACCUCUCCAUGGAAGGCACCACCCAGCACUGGAUGUAGCUCACACACAGACAUUGUCCGAGGAAGAUGAUUGCAAAAAGCAAAAGGUUUAUGAGACUGAUGAAUUCAUCCAUUAUUUACUAAACUACUAUCAGACACCACACUACGCACGUGUUUGCCUAGAGCCAAAAACCACUGCGAACAAUUCCCGGUGGAAGCGAGUGGUGUGUGAUGAUGGUAGUGGGUUUGACAUCAGCUUGAGUAACAAACAUGGUCAGCACUUCAGAGAAGUGAGUCCUGUACAAAACCUCCAAAAGAGAAAUUGUAGUAGUGAUAGUAAUUAUAGGCUGGUGAUAUCUCUUGGGGAACGUGAGUCCACAGACAAAGUGUUAGAAAGCAAGGUCCAUGGGGGCAAGCUUGCAAAAAAGCUGCAAGUGCAGAGGAAUAACUCACUCACUGUUGAUAACUUACCACAUGUUGGACUGAAUCAUUCUUUGGAGUGCACUACUGUUACUCACAAUAAGGAAUUCAAAAAAGAAGAUGGUAGAGAUGAAGGCACUGUACCAUAUGGAAGUAGAUCUGCUUGCAGAUUAAAGGAUUUGUUGGAAGAGAUCAGUGAUUCUGGGUACUUUAGAGAGGCACGUGGUGGCUCAGUGAAGAGAGCAGAAAGAAGGUAUGAAGAAAUUUACAGCAGUUGUAAUAAAGGGUGCUUGUCUGCAAGAGACGGGGAAAGAAAAUUACUGGUUUACCAUAAAAAUGUAGCUCUGGAAGGUCAAGAGAAGGAAAUCAGCCAGUGUAACUCCUGUUCUAAUUCUGUCCAUGAGGGCUUGGCAAGGCAGUGUGAACGUAAACUUAAAAAGUCGUGCAAGAGGUCUAGUAGUAAAUUAAGAUAUGAAGGAAAGAAAAGUGAGAGACAAUCCAGGGAAAAGGAGAAAAAUGCUCAUAAAAUGAAGAAAAAGCGAAAAAAGCUUUCUUCUAGUCUUUUAACUGAUGAAUGUGGCUUUUCAGAGACGGACAGUUGCAUGCAGCUGGAGUCGCUCAGAAAGAUACAGAGAAAAUGUAAGAAAAUGUUACACAAGAAAGUGAAAUUCAAGACACAUCACACCUCUAUGGUAGCACCGGAUGUUACCCCUCAUGAUGGCUCGCCCCUUCAGGAGACCCUCCGGAGGAGAGGAGAUGAGAGGAAAUUAAUGUUGAGAAGAGAGAUGGAUGCAGAUGUCAGAGGAUGUCCUCUAUUUCCUCUUGAGAUAAUUCAGACAAACCCCUUCUCAGAUACUUUCUGUGGAGGAGAGCCCAGAAGAGGAUGCUGAACAGCUACUGUAUGAUAGCUCUGAAGUUUUUAUAAAGUGGGAGAAGAAAGCCCUUUGAUCAUUAAAAGAUUAAAGAUAACAAAACUUCCACCUCUGUCACAGUUUUGUGUCCGUGAGUACCCAUUUCCCGUGAGACAGGCCUUUUGGUGACAGGUGAGGAAGUAUUUCUUUUUGUUAAUCUGGGGGAGAAGGAACUAAAGAUUUCCUUCAGUGUAAAUUUCCAGUGUUUUAUUAACAUGCUGUCACAAUAACCAAUAACAAAUAAAUUUCUGUAAUUGCUUCAUGCAUUCACCUGUAUUGACUGAAAUUGGUAGAGGAUUUGCUUUAUCUCCCAAGAACUCAUUCCAUGUACAAGACUGUUAGCUAAUAAAAUAUGCAUGCACUUUAAAAUGUGAGACAUCAUUGUAAUCUUCACACUGAAAGAGAACCUCUGUGUUUUCUAUUUGAUAUUACUUAGAACCUGAUUUCAGGUGCUUUUUGACUUUUCACAAAAUCAUAGAAUGGUUUGGAUCAGGACCUUAAAAAUCAUCUUGUUCCAAUCUCCAUGCCAAAGGCAUGGGCACCUUCCAUCUCCACCAAGCAGUGUCCAACGUGGUCUUGAACACUUCCAAGGAUGGGGUGUCCAGUUUCUUCUGGCAACCUCUGCCACAGCCUCACCAUGCUCACAGGGAAGAAUUUCUUUUUCCUGUCAGCACAUUUAAUAUCAGCCUCACCUUUUCAUACAAUGGACUGCUUUAUAUAAUUUUAUUAUCCUGAAGGCUAAUCUUUAAAGAGACAUGUAACAGCUUGCUUUAAAACUUUUAAAAUGCAUGGCUUUGUAAAUUGGAUGUUAGUUGUUAUGUCACAUCCCACAUAGAAAAGUUACUGAAUGUUUUGGCAGUUAAAACAUUUAUUAGAUUAAAAGAUACAUUAAAAGCAGUACUUAUAUAGUUUAGCAAUGGAAAUGUAGAAUAUUUCUGGCAUAAUUUCACACCUUUCAGUUUGAACCUGAUGUGUUCUAUUGUGCCCAGCUGCUGUUUCAAGAGGCUGGAUGCUUUUUAUGGAAACACUGUUUACUCUGACAUGUAUGAAGUUGGGACCUGAGACUGCAGAUCUUGCCAUCAAAUUUUAUUUUCUGUACAGAACUGGUGAAAAUACCUCCUCCUAGAGCUGGUAUGAAGAGAAGUUGGCUGAACAAUGCUGUUACUGAAAAUAUGUGACCUGUGGGUUGUACCUUGUGCUGAAUACUGAAGUCAAAAUCCUACAGGCUGGUUUUAAAGCAGAAAUACAUAAGGCCCAUUAUUAAAUCAGUCCAUCUGCUUGAAAUAAAAUACAGCAAUUAUAAUAUAAAACCCUUUCUUAAACCAGGGAUUCCAGGAAAUGCAUAGAAAUGCUUUUCAUAAAACCCCUUACAUAACUUUCAACAGAAGCAUUCAAUACUGAACUUUUUUUUGUUUAAUUGAAACAGCAGAAAGUAAGAGCGAAUAAAGGUGAUUAAGGGCAGGUGAAAAAUAUCUGAAUUUUACAAAGCAGGUAAAAGUAUGAGUUUUCCUAGCUGGAAAUAAGAUAUGACUCAAUUGUUUUGUCCUAGAGUAGACCUUUGUGACAGGUGUUGGACACCUCAGAUGAGGGAGAUUAGUGACAUUCUCUGCAUUUAAUUGGUCAUCAUGUUCUACCUGGUUAAUAUACAGACUGAUAAGCUGCCUGGCUUUUUGUUCUUUUUGCAUAGUCAUUGGUGCCAGUCACUGUUGAAGGAAGGGUUCAAGCUGUAAUGAAUAGACUAAAAAAGAAGCUAAAACCCCUCCAUUUUCUUCUGUACUUUGGAAAGAAGUAAAACCCAUGCCUGGUGCUUUAUGAGCAGCUUUUAUGACACACUUCUUCUCUUUUCACAAUAAAUUUUCUGUUUUCCCUGAAAAAGUAA